rnacentral:rRNA from 1 species
UACGUAGGGUGCGAGCGUUGUCCGGAAUUAUUGGGCGUAAAGGGCUCGUAGGCGGUUUGUCGCGUCGGGCGUGAAAUCCACUGGCUUAACUGGUGGCUUGCUUUCGAUACGGGCAGACUGGAGGUAUGCAGGGGAGAACGGAAUUCCUGGUGUAGCGGUGAAAUGCGUAGAUAUCGGGAGGAACACCAGUGGCGAAGGCGGCUUCCUGGCCUGUUCUUGACGCUGAGGCGCGAAAGCUAGGGGAGCAAACGGG